rnacentral:rRNA from 1 species
UACGUAGGGUGCAGGCGUUAAUCGGAAUUACUGGGCGUAAAGCGUGCGCAGGCGGCUCCUUAAGUCAGAUGUGAAAGCCCCGGGCUUAACCUGGGAACUGCGUUUGAAACUGGGGAGCUGGAGUGUAGAAGAGGGGGGUGGAAUUCCAGGUGUAGCAGUGAAAUGCGUAGAUAUCUGGAGGAACACCGAUGGCGAAGGCAGCCCCCUGGGCUAACACUGACGCUCAUGCACGAAAGGCGUGGGGAGCAAACAGG